rnacentral:tRNA from 1 species
GGGUAAUUAACUUAGUGGUAAAGUAUUUGCUUUACAGGUAAAUAAAUAUUGGUUCGAUUCCAAUAUUGCCCA